rnacentral:rRNA from 1 species
CGGGGUGAGUAACACGUGGAUAACCUACCUAUAAGACUGGGAUAACUUCGGGAAACCGGAGCUAAUACCGGAUAACAUGUUGAACCGCAUGGUUCAACAGUGAAAGACGGUCUUGCUGUCACUUAUAGAUGGAUCCGCGUCGCAUUAGCUAGUUGGUAAGGUAACGGCUUACCAAGGCAACGAUGCGUAGCCGACCUGAGAGGGUGAUCGGCCACACUGGAACUGAGACACGGUCCAG